rnacentral:rRNA from 1 species
UGGGGAAUAUUGCACAAUGGAGGAAACUCUGAUGCAGCGACGCCGCGUGAGGGAAGAAGGUCUUCGGAUUGUAAACCUCUGUUGUCAGGGACGAUAAUGACGGUACCUGACGAGGAAGCCACGGCUAACUACGUGCCAGCAGCCGCGGUAAAACGUAGGUGGCAAGCGUUGUCCGGAAUUACUGGGUGUAAAGGGAGCGCAGGCGGAUUUGCAAGUUGGAAGUGAAACUCAUGGGCUCAACCCAUGAACUGCUUUCAAAACUGCAGAUCUUGAGUGGUGUAGAGGUAGGCGGAAUUCCCGGUGUAGCGGUGGAAUGCGUAGAUAUCGGGAGGAACACCAGUGGCGAAGGCGGCCUACUGGGCACUAACUGACGCUGAGGCUCGAAAGCAUGGGUAGCAAACAGG